UACAGAGGGUGCGAGCGUUGUCCGGAAUCACUGGGCGUAAAGGGCGCGUAGGCGGCUUGAUAAGGUUGCGGUGAAAGCCCGGGGCUCAACCCCGGGUCGGCCGUGGCAACUGUCGAGCUGGAGCACUGUAGAGGCAGGUGGAAUUCCACGUGUAGCGGUGAAAUGCGUAGAGAUGUGGAGGAACACCAGUGGCGAAGGCGACUCUUUGGUCUGUAACUGACGCUGAGGCGCGAAAGCGUGGGGAGCAAACAGG
rnacentral:rRNA from 1 species